rnacentral:rRNA from 1 species
AACGUAGGGGACAAGCGUUAUCCGGAUUUACUGGGCGUAAAGCGCCCGUAGGCGGCCUGACAAGUUGGACGUGAAAGCUCCUGGCUUAACUGGGAGAGGCCGUUCAAAACUGUCAAGCUAGAGUCUGGAAGAGGAGAGCGGAAUUCCCGGUGUAGUGGUGGAAUGCGUAGAGAUCGGGAGGAACACCAGUGGCGAAAGCAGCUCUCUGGUCCAAAACUGACGCUGAGGGGCGAAAGCGUGGGGAGCGAACGGG